UGUUUAUUCCCAAGAAGUGAUGUUCUUCUUUUUUUUUGGGGGGGGGGGGGGGGUUAAAAGAUUUGUUACCAGACAAAGAGCUCUUCCCAGUUGGGACAAUCAUUUUACCUGUUCUGGUUCUGGGUUCUUGGUCAUGAUGUCCAAUGAGAUCUUUCUGUGCUCAACAUCUAAUAGUGUUUUACUCUUUUUCAUCAAGCAGGGACUCUCUGAAUGAAUCAUGUGAAGAGAAUCUUGUCAAAGCUUUGCUCUACAAUUGCCCACUGUUCAAAAUACCUCAGUGACAACAACAAGGAAGUAAGUCAUAGGAAAAAAUAUUAAAACCUAUGCACUUAACAAGCAAGAUUGUGCUGCAGAAAGAGACAACUGGAAAAGAAAAGCUACACAACAAUGAAAAACUGACCUGUGUAACUUCAAGUGAUUUCAGGCAUCAUUAAAGCAAAGCUUUGACAACAUUUUCUUCACAAGAUUUCUUCAAAGGCAUACCUGCUGGAUGAAGAAGAGGAAAAUCUCAUAAGGAGUAGAUCUCAUUCCACAUCAUGACACAGAGCCCAGAAUCAGGAGAAUAGGUGAGGAGACUGGCUCAACUGGGAAGAACUCAUUGCCUGGUGAGAAAUCUUUUAACCCAAUAAAAAUAAUAUCUGGUAAAAACCAAAGGGAACAAGGGCCCAAGAUCAUGUUUCUAAUAUUUUUUGAACUGCAAUGUGUUAACGCUGUAAUCAAGCCUUUGUAAAAGAAAAUAUCUUGAAAUGCUAUCAGUAAGGUAUGGAACAAAGGCUGCAAAAAUACUGUCUAUAUCCCUUCUUACAAACAUCACAUCCCAGGAGUGGCCACCUAUAUGAGCACACCAACUCAUUUCAUAGAAUCAUAGAAUCAUAGAAUAGUAGAGUUGGAAGAGACCACAUGGGCCAUCCAGUCCAACCCCCUGCUAAGAAGCAGGAAAUCGCAUUCAAAGCACCCCCGACAGAUGGCCAUCCAGCCUCUGCUUAAAAGCCUCCAAAGAAGGAGCCUCCACCACGGCCCCGGGGAGAGAGUUCCACUGUCGAACAGCUCUCACAGUGAGGAAGUUCUUCCUGAUGUUCAGGUGGAAUCUCCUUUCCUGUAGUUUGAAGCCAUUGUUCCGUGUCCUAGUCUGCAGGGCAGCAGAAAACAAGCUUGCUCCCUCCUCCCUUUGACUUCCCUUCACGUAUUUGUACAUGGCUAUCAUGUCUCCUCUCAGCCUUCUCUUCUGCAGGCUAAACAUGCCCAGCUCUUUAAGCCGCUCCUCAUAGGGCUUGUUCUCCAGACCCUUAAUCAUUUUAGUUGCCCUCCUCUGGACGCUUUCCAGCUUGUCAACAUCUCCCUUCAACUGUGGUGCCCAAAAUUGGACACAGUAUUCCAGGUGUGGUCUGACCAAUCAGUCUUAGGAGGAAAAUACUUCAUUGCUUUUUGUGGAUUUCUGAACAUGCGAAGUUAAUUAACAAGUAUUCCUUGCUAUAAGUAUUUUUAUCAACCAUCUCAGAGCCGAAGAUCGUCUGGGGAGGCCCUGCUCUCGGUCCUGCCCCCUUCGCAGGCGCAAUUGGCGGGGACAGGAGGCAAGGCCUUCUCAAUGGUGGCCCCACGGCUAUGGCACUCCCUCCCCAGGGAGAUUAGAUCAGCCCCCUCCCUCCCGAUCUUCUGCAAGAAAGUGAAGAUAUGGCUCUUCGACCAACCUUUUGAAAACCUGGUGCCGCAAUAGAUAUAAAAGACUUGGAAUCUGACCAAUUGAAUGGCCCGGACUUUGCUCUUGGAUUAUGUGAUGUUCAUGGUUUUAAUUGUGUUUUAUUGUAAUUUAAUGUGUAUUUUAAAUGACUUUUUAUAAUUCUUUGUAAUUGAAUUAUUGCCAUGUUGUUAAGCCACCCUGAGUCCCCUCCGGGAUGAGAAGGGUGGGGUAAAAGUAUAGUAAAUAAUUAACUAAAUAAAUAUAAUGGCGAUACCUUUGAAAAUUACUGGAAGCAUCACUCUGCUUUGAAUUGGACGCACCUUCAUUAACCUCAUAAGCUGGACCAAAACUAACAAAAUGAAUUUCAACAGGGACAAAUGUUGGCUCGACAACAGUCCAUGUGAAAAAGAUCUUGGAGUCUGUGUGGAUAACAAGUUGACAGCCAACAGUGUGUUGCAGCAGCUACAAAAGCCAAUGGGGUUUUGGGCUGCAUCAAAAGGAGUCUAGUGUCUAGAUUGAGGGAGGUCAUGAUGCCUCUCUAUUCUGCUUUGGUUAGACUUCACCUGGAAUAAUGCAUCCAAUUCUGAGCACCACAGUUUAAAAGAGAUACUUGACAAACUAGAAAGUGUCCAAGGGAGUGCAACUAAAAUUAUCAAAAAUCUGGAGACCAUGCCCUACCAGGAGCGGCUUAAGGAACUGGGUAUAUUUCGCUUGCAGAAGAGAAAUUUGAUAGAAGACAUGAUAGUAAUGUAUACAUAUAUUAAAGGAUGUCAUAAGGAAGAGGGAGCAAGCUUGUUUUCUGCUGCCCCAGCUUUAACUCGGUCCGCACUAAGGUUUAUGUGCAAGGUUUAUGUGGACGAAUGGAUUAAGUAUUUUAUUAUACUGUUUUAAAUGUAUUUAUUGGAUUGUUUUAAAUUGAUUGUUUAUUUGCUAUGUUUUAUUUUUGUACUGUAUACUGGCAUUGAAUUUGCCAUAUUGUGAGCCGACCUGAGUCCCUUCGGGUGAGAAGGGCGGCAUAUAAACGAUGGAAAUAAAUAAACAAAUAAAUCUUGAGAAUA